AAGUGCUACAGCUCUUUGGAUUUGUCUAGCAGCUUUCUGGGUUUUGCUGGAAAGCCCUU
ensembl:snRNA U7 U7 small nuclear RNA